UUGAUUGGAUAUGUGAGUGUUAUAAAAUAAAAGUGAACUAUAGCUGACAAGAAUGAGUGGUUAAGGUUAAUUUCUUGUCCUUUGCAGGCUCUUCCUGUCAAGCAGCAGAAGGGAACAUUUUACCAAUGUACUGUUAGCUGAUAAUACUUGCAAGCUAUCGGCAUAAACUUGUUACAGGCUAAACAGAGGUAAAUAGACCUAAUGUACUUCUUUCUCAGACCAACGUAGGCCUACCUAGCAAAUUUAGCUAACGUUAUCCACUUUUCAACAUUGUUUUUUAAGAGUGUUUAGUCACGAUUGCUGCUGAUGGAUCACGUCAAAUUGGCUAGCCAGCUAAUAACAGAUCUAACCUAGUGGUUAGAGCGACAGGUGACCUAGUGGUUAGAGCGGCAGGUAGCCUAGUAGUUUGAGCUUUGGGGCGGCAGGUAGCCUAGUGGUUAGAAUGUUGGGAGGCAGGUAGCCUAGUGGAUAGAAUGUUGGGGAGGCAGGUAGCCUAGUAGUUAGAGCAUUGCGGAGGCAUGUAGCCUCGUGGUUAGAGCGUUGGGGAGGCAGGUAGCCUAGUUGUUAGAGCGUUGGGGUGGCAGGUAACCUAGAGCGUUGAGGUGGCAGGUAGCCUAGUGGUUAGAGCAUUGGUGUGGCAGGUAGCCUAGUGGUUAGAGCGUUGGGGAGGCAGGUAACCUAGUGGUUACAGCGUUGGUGUGGCAGGUAACCUAGAGCGUUGGGGCGGCAGGUAGCUUAGUGGUUAGAGCGCUGGGGCGGCAGGUAGGCUAGUGAUUAGAGCGUUGGGGCGGCAGGUAGGCUAGUUGUUAGAGCGUUGGGGAGGCAGUUAAUCUAGUGGUUGGAGCAGCAGGUAGCCUAGUGGUUAGAGAGGCAGGUAACCUAAUGGUUAGAAUGACAGGGCGGCAGGUAGCCUAGUGGUUAGAGCGUUGGGGAGCCAGGUAGCCUAGUGGUUAGAGCGUUGGGGUGACAGGUAAUCUAGUGGUUAGAUCGUUGGGGUGGCAGAUAGCCUAGUGGUUAGAGUGUUGGGGAGGCAGGUAGCCUAGUGGUGAGGGCGUUAGGGAGGCAGGUAGCCUAAUGGUUAAAGCGUUGGGGUGGCAGGUAGCCUAGUGGUUAGAGUGUUGGGGAGGCAGGUAGCCUAGUGGUUAGAUCGUUGGUGUGGCAGAUAGCCUAGUGGUUACAGUGUUGGGGAGGCAGGUAACCUAGUGGUUAGAGCGUUGUGGCGGCAGGUAACCUAGAGCGUUGGGGCGGCAGGUAACCUAGUGGUUAGAGCGGCAGGUAGCCUAGUGGUUAGAGCAUUGGGGCGGCAGGUAGCCUGAUGGUUAGAGUGUUGGAGAGAAAGGUAGCCUAGUGGUUAGAGCGUUGUGGAGGCAGGUAGCCUAGUGGUUAGGGCGUUGGGGAGGCAGGUAGCCUAGUGGUUAGAGCGUUGGGGUGACAGGUAACCUAGUGGCUAGAUCGUUGGGGUGGCAGAUAGCCUAGUGGUUAGAGCGUAGGGGCGGCAGGUAGCCUAGUGGUCAGAGCGUAGGGGCGGCAGGUAGCCUAGUGGUUAGAGUGUAGAGGCGGCAGGUAGCCUAGUGGUCAGAGCGUAGGGGCGGCAGGUAGCCUAGUGGUUAGAGUGUAGAGGCGGGAGGUAGCCUAGUGGUUAGAGUGUGGAGGCGGCAGGUAGCCUAGUGGUCAGAGCGUAGGGGCGGCAGGUAGCCUAGUGGUUAGAGCAUAGGGGUGGCAGGUAGCUUAGUGGUUAGAGCAUAGCGGCGGCAGGUAGCCUAGUGGUUAGAUUGUUGAGGCGGCAGGUAACCUAGUGGUUAGAGCGACAGGUAACCUAGAGGUUAGAGCGGCAGGUAGCCUAGUAGUUUGAGCUUUGGGGCGGCAGGUAGCCUAGUGGUUAGAAUGUUGGGAGGCAGGUAGCCUAGUAGUUAGAGCAUUGCGGAGGCAUGUAGCCUAGUGGUUAGAGCAUUGGGGAGGCAGGUAGCCUAGUUGUUAGAGCGUUGGGGAGGCAGGUAGCCUAGUGGUUAGAGCGUUGGGGCGGCAGGUAGCCUAGUGGUUAGAGCGUUGGGGAGCCAGGUAGCCUAGUGGUUAGAGCGUUGGGGUGACAGGUAACCUAGUGGUUAGAUCGUUGGGGUGGCAGAUAGCCUAGUGGUUAGAGUGUUGGGGAGGCAGGUAGCCUAGUGGUGAGGGCGUUAGGGAGGCAGGUAGCCUAAUGGUUAAAGCGUUGGGGUGGCAGGUAGCAUAGUGGUUAGAGCGUUGGGGAGGCAGGUAGCCUAGUGGUUAGAUCGUUGUUGUGGCAGAUAGCCUAGAGCGUUGGGGCGGCAGGUAACCUAGUGGUUAGAGCGGCAGGUAGCCUAGUGGUUAGAGCGUUGGGGCGGCAGGUAGCCUAGUGGUAAGAGCGGCAGGUAGCCUAGUAAUUAGAGCGUUGGGGCAGCAGGUAACCUAGUGGUUAGAGCGGCAGGUAGCCUAGUGGUUAGAGCGUUGGGGCGGCAGGUAACCUCGUGGUUAGAGCGGCAGGUAGCCUAGUGGUUAGAGCGAUGUGGCGGCAGGUAGCCUAGUGGUAAGAGCAUUAGGUAGGCAGGUAACAUAGUGGUUAGAGCGGCAGGUAGCCUAGUGGUUAGAGCGGCAGGUAGCCUAGUGGUUAGAGCAGCAGGUAACCUAGUGGUUAGAGCGAUGGGGCGGCAGGUAAUCUAGUGGUUAGAGCGUUGGGGCGGCAGGUAGCCUAGUGGUUAGAACGUUGGGGAGGCAGUUAGCCUAGUGGUUAGAGUGUUGGAGAGUCAGGUAACCUAGUGGUUAGAGCGGCAGGUAAUCUAGUGGUUAGAGCGUUGGGGCGGCAGGUAGCCUAGUGGUUAGAUCGUUGGGGUGGCAGAUAGCCUAGUGGUUACAGUGUUAUAGGGUGGUAGGUAGCCUAGUGGUUCGAGCGUUGGGGAGGCAGGUAACCUAAUGGUUAGAGCAUUGAGGUGGCAGGUAACCUAGUGGUUAGAUCGUUGGUGUGGCAGAUAGCCUAGUGGUUACAGUGUUGGGGAGGCAGGUAACCUAGUGGUUAGAUCGUUGGUGUGGCAGAUAGCCUCGUGGUUACAGUGUUGGGGAGGCAGGUAACUUAGAGCGUUGGGGCGGCAGGUAACCUAGUGGUUAGAGCGGCAGGUAGCCUAGUGGUUAGAGCGUUGGGGAGGCAGGUAGCCUAGUGGUUAGAGCGUUGGGGUGGCAGGUGACCUAGUGGUUAGAGCGUUGGGGAGGCAGGUAGCCUAGUGGUUAGAGGGUUGGGGAGGCAGGUAGCCUAGUGGUUAGAGCGUUGGGGAGGCAGGUAGCCUAGUGGUUAGAGUGUUGGGGAGGCAGGUAGCCUAGUGGUUAGAGUGUUGGGGAGGCAGGUAGCCUAGUGGUUUAGAGCGUUGGGCCAGUAACCGAAAGGUUGCAUGUUGAAUCCCUGAGCUGCUCCUGAACAAGGCAGUUAACCCACUGUUCCUAGGCUGUCACUGUAAAUAGAACUGACUUGCCUAGUUAAAUAAAGUUCUUAAAAAAAUGUUUAACAAUCCCUUGAAAACUGCACACAGUUGUCAAUGGUUUUAGCAGAGCUGUGGGUCUUCUUGCUCACCAGCAGCCAAAUGGAUUGCUCUGCACCAUAUUAGGUCGUAAUCAAUGAAACGUCACAUGGGGACAAACAUUUGGGACAGAUCAUUAGGAUUCUCAGGUUCCAAAUAUUUUAAAUGUCUCGUGUCAUGUUAGCUCAUACAUAUUCAGAGGUUGCUACAGCCUCUCACCUCAUGUAAUGCAUGUCAAUCACUGGAGUCAAAGACAUGUUGAUUGAGUUGGAAAGAAAGAGUUAUGUUUCUGAUGUCUUAAAACUGUAAAUUAAACUCUAAUAAUAUACAAAUGACAAGAACUGUAUUAUAAUGAGCAAACUGAAUCUAAUUUAAUCUAUGUUAAUGUUUUAGUUCUAAUCCAUGUGAAUUGUUCAAUAUGUGUAUGUUUCAGCAAAGAUAAAAAUAUAUGAGUUUACAUAUGGCUUAAACAAAUGUCAAUUGCUUUCUAUUUUCCAUAAAUGUAUCAAUGUAGAUAUUAAUUGUUCCUUAGUUUUGGUGUUUGCCAGUAACAUCUAUUAAAUGUAGCAACAUUGAUAUUUAUUGCAGAGAUGAAAUGAUUAGACCUAUUGUUUAUUUGCUUAAUCUUGUUUCUAGUUAUUGUUCUGUAAGAUAUGUGCAUUGUGUAACUUAAAUGUUAAUUUAAAACUUUAAUAGGAAUUUAUUUUAUUAAAAUUAAAUGUAAAAAUUGUUUGUAAAAUCUAUUUCGGUUUUUAUGACAUUAAACAUGAAUUGAACUUGGGACAGAGUGCGAUGGAAUUGGUUUGGCUUAAAUAAACUAUGAAAAUUUGUAUUAAUGGAAUAAACGUUUUAAA
ensembl:lncRNA